UGCAGCGCCCCAGGCCUCCGAGGCUGAGGAGGAAGAAAAGCCCUUUUCUUGCGCAGAAGCCAGGCCCUGUGACCCUGGACUGUCCCCCACUGUCCCGGCCGCACCACUGUAAAUGUCAUCGCCAAGACAAGGAAACCGGUCGAGAUAAAGAUGGAAUCGUUUCCCAAGCCCGGCAAGGGGAGUGAGGACUUGAACCCAGACUGGCUGGCUCCAGAGGCCAAGCUCGUAACCACUAAUAGCAACAGCAGCUGACAGGCGGGUGUGAGCGCCUUGGCCGCUGUGCAAGUGCGAGGCAGCUCAGGCACAGAAAGGUCAGGCCGCUGCCCAGGUCACGCAGCUGGGGGAGACCGACCGGGGCUGACCAACUGCUUCCACAAUAUGGGGUCUACACCUGCUGCAGCCCCAGGCCAAACUGAGUACAAACCCAAUAAACAGUCGAUGAG